rnacentral:rRNA from 1 species
AGUGAACGCUGGCGGCAGGCCUAACACAUGCAAGUCGAGCGGCAGCGGGUUCCCGCGAGGGGAUGCCGGCGAGCGGCGGACGGGUGAGGAACACAUCGGAAUCUGCCUGGUUGUGGGGGAUAACGUAGGGAAACUUACGCUAAUACCGCAUGCGACCCUGAGUCGACGGACUGGGGGUGAAAGUGAGGGACCUUCGGGCCGUCACGCGACCAGAUGAGCCGAUGUCGGAUAGCUAGUUGGCGGGGUAACGGCCCGCCAAGGCGACGAUCCGUAGCUGGUCUGAGAGGAUGAUCAGCCACACUGGGACUGA